GCCUGGAUGGCUCAGUCGGUUGAGCGUCCGACUUCAGCUCAGGUCAUGAUCUCAUGGUUUGUGAGUUCAAGCCCCGCGUCAGGCU
rnacentral:tRNA from 1 species